rfam:Gossypium arboreum cultivar AKA8401 contig_16687_1, whole genome shotgun sequence.
UAUUAAAAUUUUUAUUCAUUUUUACUGUUAAAAACUGGCAUAGAUGAUAGAAUAACCCAACAAUGACACGUGGCGUGCCAUAUAUACCUCAUAUUUACGUACAAUGACCAAAUUUUAACAAUAGAAAUGAAUGAAACUUUUAAUA